rnacentral:rRNA from 1 species
UGGGGAAUAUUGCACAAUGGGCGCAAGCCUGAUGCAGCAACGCCGCGUGAACGAUGAAGGUCUUCGGAUCGUAAAGUUCUGUUGCAGGGGAAGAUAAUGACGGUACUCUGUGAGGAAGCUACGGCUAACUACGUGCCAGCAGCCGCGGUAAUACGUAGGGGGCUAGCGUUAUCCGGAUUUACUGGGCGUAAAGGGUGCGUAGGUGGUCUUUCAAGUCGGUGGUUAAAGGCUACGGCUCAACCGUAGUUAGCCUCCGAAACUGGAAGACUUGAGUGCAGUAGAGGAAAGUGGAAUUCCCAGUGUAGCGGUGAAAUGCGUAGAUAUUGGGAGGAACACCAGUAGCGAAGGCGGCUUUCUGGACUGCAACUGACACUGAGGCACGAAAGCGUGGGUAGCAAACAGG